rnacentral:rRNA from 1 species
UACAGAGGUCCCAAGCGUUGUUCGGAUUCACUGGGCGUAAAGGGUGCGUAGGCGGUCGGGUAAGUCUGAUGUGAAAUCUCACAGCUUAACUGUGAAACUGCAUUGGAUACUAUUCGGCUUGAGAGUUGGAGGGGGGGACUGGAAUUCUUGGUGUAGCAGUGAAAUGCGUAGAUAUCAAGAGGAACACCAGUGGCGAAGGCGAGUCCCCUGGACAACUUCUGACGCUGAGGCACGAAAGCUAGGGGAGCAAACAGG